ACGUUAUCCCGCUACUGGCGGAUUUGUGGGCCUAAACCACAAGGGACCGGGAUAAUUUCAAGCCGACCGCCUGGGCAGAAGUU
rnacentral:ncRNA from 2 species